rnacentral:rRNA from 1 species
UACGGAGGGUGCGAGCGUUAAUCGGAAUAACUGGGCGUAAAGGGCACGCAGGCGGGCUUUUAAGUGAGAUGUGAAAUCCCCGGGCUUAACCUGGGAAUAGCAUUUGAGACUGGCAGUCUAGAGUAUUGUAGGGGGGGGUAGAAUUCCAGGUGUAGCGGUGAAAUGCGUAGAGAUGUGGAGGAAUACCGGUGGCGAAGGCAGCCCCUUGGGCAUAUACUGACGCUCAGGUGCGAAAGCGUGGGGAGCAAACAGG